rnacentral:rRNA from 1 species
GACGAAGGGGGCUAGCGUUGUUCGGAAUGACUGGGCGUAAAGCGCACGGAGGCGGAUUGGUCAGUUGGGGGUGAAAUCCCGGGGCUCAACCUCGGAACUGCCUCCAAUACUGCCAAUCUUGAGUUCGGGAGAGGUGAGUGGAAUUCCUAGUGUAGAGGUGAAAUUCGUAGAUAUUAGGAAGAACACCAGUGGCGAAGGCGGCUCACUGGCCCGAUACUGACGCUGAGGUGCGAAAGCGUGGGGAGCAAACAGG